rnacentral:rRNA from 1 species
AUUGAACGCUGGCGGCAUGCCUUACACAUGCAGGUCGAACGGCAGCGGACCUUCGGGUGCCGGCGAGUGGCGAACGGGUGAGUAAUAUAUCGGAACGUACCUUUCAGUGGGGGAUAACGUAGCGAAAGUUACGCUAAUACCGCAUAUUCUGUGAGCAGGAAAGCAGGGGAUCGCAAGACCUUGCGCUGAUUGAGCGGCCGAUAUCAGAUUAGCUAGUUGGUGAGGUAAAGGCUCACCAAGGCGACGAUCUGUAGCGGGUCUGAGAGGAUGAUCCGCCACACUGGAACUGAGACACGGUCCAGACUCCUACGGGAGGCAGCAGUGGGGAAUUUUGGACAAUGGGCGCAAGCCUGAUCCAGCCAUGCCGCGUGAGUGAAGAAGGCCU